rnacentral:rRNA from 1 species
AUACGGAGGAUCCGAGCGUUAUCCGGAUUUAUUGGGUUUAAAGGGAGCGUAGGUGGAUUGUUAAGUCAGUUGUGAAAGUUUGCGGCUCAACCGUAAAAUUGCAGUUGAAACUGGCAGUCUUGAGUACAGUAGAGGUGGGCGGAAUUCGUGGUGUAGCGGUGAAAUGCUUAGAUAUCACGAAGAACUCCGAUCGCGAAGGCAGCUCACUAGACUGUUACUGACACUGAUGCUCGAAAGUGUGGGUAUCAAACAGGAUUAGAUACCCUGGUAGUCCACACAGUAAACGAUGAAUACUCGCUGUUUGCGAUAUACAGUAAGCGGCCAAGCGAAAGCAUUAAGUAUUCCACCUGGGGAGUACGCCGGCAACGGUGAAACUCAAAGGAAUUGGCGGGG